AUAUAUAUAUAUAUAUAUAUAUAAGCCAUGCAUACCCAUAUAAGCAGCUUCUCUUGACCUUGCUAGCCAGUUGGAACUUGCUAAUCAACAAAAGCUAAGCUAAACUACUAUUUCCUGGGUUACUUGGUGCAUGUAGAAGGACAACACACUUCUAGCCAGUGUGAGCUAACUUGACUACAUUGUACAGUGACUGACAUAAUCUUCACAUUUCUUACAUUUGUGUAUUACAUGUUUAUGUACUUGUGUACAUUAGCUGUUAGUUGGUUCAAAUAAAUGAUAUUUACAUAAGCAAUGAAAAGUGACAAUUCUGACUUGAUGUUGUAAUCAAGGGAAAUAACUUAAAAUCCUGAAACAUGUUUUGUUAGAUAAUCUCACUGAUUUGUUAUAUUCAUCUAUUGAUUUUGUCAUAUUUUAAAAAUACAGACACAUUUAUAUAUUAAAUCUUCAACGAAACAAUUUAUUUGGUUCUAAUAUUUUAUUAAAGGCAAGAGUUUGUUGGUU